CGGAACCGGAGGGAGAGCGGCCGGGGGUGAGGUUGCAGUGUGCUGUGAUGAGGAGUUGCGUGGAAGGCGCGUGCGGGCCGAAUGUGUGAGUGGAUGCGUGAAUGUGAGUGCGCGUGGUGCGUGCAAGGCGAGUGCGUGCUCCCGCCCCCGUGCCCCUCCCCCGGCCUACACCUUGAUCUUAUUUGAUCGGGUUGUGACUCCAGCCCCGCCGGGCCGACCCGAAAUGAAAGGCUCACCUCCUGCGAAGCCCUUUUCUUGGGGCGCUGUGCAGCGAGGCCCAAUGGGCGGUGGCAACGCCGCGGUCCCGGAGCCGAGCCUACGGGGCCCGGCGCUCAGACGUGAUGAAUUGAUCAGAUAGACGAGGCCGGGCUCGUCCCGGGCCGCUGAUUAUCGAGGCGAUUCUGAUCUGA
ensembl:scaRNA